UACGUAGGGUGCAAGCGUUGUCCGGAAUUAUUGGGCGUAAAGAGCUCGUAGGCGGUCUGUCGCGUCUGCUGUGAAAACUCAGGGCUUAACCCUGAGCUUGCAGUGGGUACGGGCAGACUAGAGUGCGGUAGGGGAGACUGGAAUUCCUGGUGUAGCGGUGAAAUGCGCAGAUAUCAGGAGGAACACCGGUGGGCGAAAGGCGGGGUCUCUGG
rnacentral:rRNA from 1 species